CUAAAAAUUCAUAAUGACCAAAACGCGUUCUAAAAGCCGUCUUAGGGAUAUCAUCUGACUUAAUUUUCAAUUGGUGAUAUCCUGAUCUUAGAUCGAUCUUUGAAAAUACUGUAGCCCCAUUAAGCUGAUCAAUCAAAUCUUCUAUUUUUGGAAGUGGAUAUUUGUUUUUGAUAGUGAGGCGAUUCAAUUCUCGAUAGUCAAUGCACAUCCUCAUAGUUCCAUCCUUCUUUUUCACAAAUAGUACAGGUGCACCCCAAGGUGAUACACUUGGUCUAAUGAAACCCUUAUCAAGAAGCUCCUUCAACUGUACCUUCGACUCUUGCAGUUCCAAUGGUGCCAUACGAUAUGGAGCUUUUGAAAUAGGUGUUGCUCCUGGUACCAAAUCGAUGGUAAACUCUACUUGCCUGUCUGGUGGUACACCUAGAAGGUCUUCUGGAAAAAUAUCUUUAUAGUGCCGAACUAUUUGAACAUCCUCAACUGAUAACUUAUCUUGUUUAAUAUUGGUCAUCGAUGCUAGAAAUCUUUGACCUAAUUUCUUUCUCGGCGUCCUUUCAACCUGAGUUGUUGACACUAUACGAGACGAGGUAUUUGCCUCAGUUCCCACAAAACGAAACUCUUUCUCGCCCGGUCUUCGAAAAACCACCAUUCUCUCGGUACAAUGAAUAGUUGCAUAGUUUUUAGACAACCAGUCCAUACCAAGGAUAACAUCAAAGUCUUUUAUCGUUAAUGGAAUUAGAUCUACUGCUAUAUCUCUACCAUCAAUUUCCAUCCUAAGACCUCUAGCUAUUUGGCUAGCGACAAGUAUCUUUCCAGAUGGAAGAGAUAUUUCUAAGGUAUACGGAAGGAAUUCACAUUCCACUUUAGACUUUGCAACAAACAAAGAAGAAAUGAACGAAUGUGUAGCUCCAGAAUCUAUUAGUACAAAUGCAGGCAUAUUGGAAAUAGAGAUGAUACCUGCGAGGACGUUAGGGUCUCGUUCUGCUUCUUGCUUGGAUAAGGAGAAAACUCUUUCUUUUCCUUUCUUGUCA
rnacentral:lncRNA from 1 species